rnacentral:rRNA from 1 species
UACGUAGGGGGCUAGCGUUGUCCGGAAUCAUUGGGCGUAAAGAGCGUGUAGGCGGCCCGGUAAGUCCGCUGUGAAAGUCGGGGGCUCAACCCUCGAAUGCCGGUGGAUACUGUCGGGCUAGAGUGCGGAAGAGGCGAGUGGAAUUCCUGGUGUAGCGGUGAAAUGCGCAGAUAUCAGGAGGAACACCGAUUGCGAAGGCAGCUCGCUGGGACGUUACUGACGCUGAGACGCGAAAGCGUGGGGAGCAAACGGG